GGAUGAACGCUAGCGGCAGGCUAACACAUGCAAGUCGAGGGUAACGGGGAGUAGCAAUACGUCUGCCGACGACCGGCGCACGGGUGCGUAACGCGUAUGCAACCGUGCCCGUAACAGGGGGUAUAACCGGAGGGAAACUUCCACUAAUCCCCCCGGUAUAGCCGCGAGGUCGCAUGGCCUUGACGGCGAAAGCUUCGGCGGUUACGGAUGGGCAUGCGUGGCAUUAGGUAGUUGGUGGGGCAACGGCCCACCAAGCCUACGAUGCCUAGGGGAGCUGAGAGGCUUGUCCCCCACACUGGUACUGAGACACGGACCAGACUCCUACGGGAGGCAGCAGUGAGGAAUAUUGGUCAAUGGACGGAAGUCUGAACCAGCCAUGCCGCGUGAAAGGAAGACGGCCCUAUGGGUUGUAAACUUCUUUUGCCCCGGGGCAAUAAGGCGCAUGCGUGCGCCGACGAGAGUACGGGGCGAAUAAGCAUCGGCUAACUCCGUGCCAGCCGCUGC
rnacentral:rRNA from 1 species